UACGUAGGGGGCAAGCGUUGUCCGGAAUUAUUGGGCGUAAAGAGCGUGUAGGCGGUCCGGUAAGUCAGCUGUGAAAGUCCAGGCUCAACCCUGGAAAGCGGGUGGAUACUGCCGGGCUAGAAUCCGGAAGAGGCGAGUGGAAUUCCUGGUGUAGCGGUGGAAUGCGCAGAUAUCAGGAGGAACACCAAUAGCGAAGGCAGCUCGCUGGGACGGUAUUGACGCUAAGGCGCGAAAGCGUGGGGAGCAAACAGG
rnacentral:rRNA from 1 species